rnacentral:RNase_P_RNA from 2 species
GCAGAGAUGCGGACCGUCGCUUUAUGCAAGAGGCAUAAUGAGGAAAGUCCGGGCAACAUAGAGCAUCGCAUUUUUUAACGGAAAGCCGGCGGUGACGUCGGGGUUAAUGUGACAGAAAAAAACCGCCUUCAAGUCGUAAGGCAAGAAGGUAAGGGUGAAAAGGCGGGGUAAGAGCCCACCGGCCGGCAUGGCGACAUGCCGGGCCGCACAACCUGCGAGUUGCAAGGUCAAAUACACCGGCAGCAAAGAGUGGCUCGCUCAUUGUCGGGGGGUAGACUGCUAUAGCGCGCCGUGCAAACGGCCGCACAGAUAAAUGACGGACACCCCGUUUUUACGGGGCACAUAACCCGGCUUAUAACAUCUCUGCUUUU